rnacentral:ncRNA from 1 species
CUCCUGGUGGUGCCCUUCCGUCAAUUCCUUUAAGUUUCAGCUUUGCAACCAUACUUCCCCCGGAACCCAAAGACUUUGGUUUCCCGUAAGCUGCCGGAGGGGUCGUCAAUGUAACGCCCCCCGAUCGCUAGUUGGCAUCGUUUAUAGUAUAAGCGCCGACCUCGCGGGAGGCGUGCAUUUAUCAGACCAAAAACCGGCCGCGUCUUCGGGCGCGUUCGCCUUGGUGACUCUGGAUAACUUUGCGGAUCGCACGGUCUAGCACCGGCGACGGAUCAUUCAAGUGUCUGCCCUAUCAACUUUCGUCGGUACGGUAUUUGCCUACCGAGGUUCUUACGGGUGACGGGGAAUCAGGGUUCGAUUCCGGAGAGGGAGCCUGAGAAACGGCUACCACAUCCAAGGAAGGCAGCAGGCGCGCAAAUUACCCAUUCCCGACGCGGGGAGGUAGUGACGAAAAAUAACAAUGCAGGACUCGUUCGAGGCCCUGUAAUUGGAAUGAGUACACUUUAAAAGCUUUAACGAGUAUCCAUUGGAGGGCAAGUCUGGUGCCAGCAGCCGCGGUAAUUCCAGCUCCAAAAGUAUAUAUUUAAGUUGUUGCGGUUAAAAAGCUCGUAGUUGGAUUUUGGGCGCAGGCGGCCGGUCCGUCGCAAGGCGUGUACUGGACGUCCUGGCCUUCCCUCCGGUUCUCCGCCGGUGCUCUUGACUGAGUGUCGGCGGCGGCCGGAA